CAGAGGUCUCAAGCGUUGUUCGGAUUCAUUGGGCGUAAAGGGUGUGUAGGUGGCGCGCUAAGUCGGGUGUGAAAUUUCGGAGCUUAACUCCGAAACUGCAUUCGAUACUGGCGUGCUUGAGGACUGGAGAGGAGACUGGAAUUUACGGUGUAGCAGUGAAAUGCGUAGAUAUCGUAAGGAAGACCAGUGGCGAAGGCGGGUCUCUGGACAGUUCCUGACACUGAGACACGAAGGCCAGGGGAGCAAACGGGAUUAGAUGCCCCGGUAGUCCUGGCAGUAAACGGUGCACGUUUGGUGUGGGAGGAUUCGACCCCUUCUGCGCCGGAGCUAACGCGUUAAACGUGCCGCCUGGGGAGUACGGUCGCAAGAUUA
rnacentral:rRNA from 1 species